UACAGAGGAUGCAAGCGUUAUCCGGAAUGAUUGGGCGUAAAGCGUCUGUAGGUGGCUUUUUAAGUCCGCCGUCAAAUCCCAGGGCUCAACUCUGGACAGGCGGUGGAAACUACCAAGCUGGAGUACGGUAGGGGCAGAGGGAAUUUCCGGUGGAGCGGUGAAAUGCGUAGAGAUCAGGAAGAACACCGGUGGCGAAGGCGCUCUGCUAGGCCGUAACUGACACUGAGGGACGAAAGCUAGGGGAGCGAAUGGG
rnacentral:rRNA from 1 species